rnacentral:rRNA from 1 species
UCGAGAGGCUUCGGCAAUGGGGGAAACCCUGACCGAGCGACGCCGCGUGGGCGAUGAAGGCCGUUAGGUUGUAAAGCCCUUUCGUGCGGGAAGAAAUGCAGGCGGAUUAAUAAUCCGUUUGUUUGACGGUACCGCAGGAAGAAGCUCCGGCUAACUCCGUGCCAGCAGCCGCGGUAAUACGGGGGGAGCGAACGUUGUUCGGAAUCACUGGGCGUAAAGGGCGUGCAGGCGGCCCGGUAAGUGGAAGGUGAAAUGCCCUGGCUCAACCAGGGAACUGCCUUCCAGACUGCCGGGCUUGAGUACAGGAGAGGAUGGGGGAAUUCCCGGUGUAGCGGUGGAAUGCAUUGAUAUCGGGAGGAACACCAGUGGCGAAGGCGCCCAUCUGGCCUGAUACUGACGCUCAAGCGCGAAAGCUAGGGGAGCAAACAGGAUUAGAUACCCCCGUAGUCC